rnacentral:rRNA from 1 species
CCCUUAGAUGUCCUGGGCCGCACGCGCGCUACAAUGAUACACGCAACGAGUCCACCUUGUCCGAAAGGUCCGGGUAAUCUUGGAAAUGUGUAUCGUACUAGGGAUAGAUUAUUGCAAUUAUUAAUCUUGAACGAGGAAUUCCUAGUAAACGCAGUUCAUCAAACUGCAUUGAUUACGUCCCUGCCCUUUGUACACACCGCCCGUCGCACCUACCGAUUGGAUGGUCCGGUGAAGCCUCGGGAUUGUGGCGGUUGCCUUUAUUGGUGGCCGCCGCGAGAACUUGUCUAAACCUUAUCAUCUAGAGGAAGGUGAAGUCGUAACA